rnacentral:rRNA from 1 species
UACGUAGGGGGCUAGCGUUGUCCGGAAUCAUUGGGCGUAAAGAGCGUGUAGGCGGCUUGGUAAGUCCGCUGUGAAAGUCCAGGGCUCAACCCUGGAAUGCCAGUGGAUACUGUCAAGCUAGAGUCCGGAAGAGGCGAGUGGAAUUCCUGGUGUAGCGGUGAAAUGCGCAGAUAUCAGGAGGAACACCAAUGGCGAAGGCAGCUCGCUGGGUACGGUACUGACGCUGAGACGCGAAAGCGUGGGGAGCAAACAGG